rnacentral:misc_RNA from 1 species
CCGAGUUUACAACUCCCAAACCCAAUGUGAACCAUACCAAACUGUUGCCUCGGCGGGGUCACGCCCCGGGUGCGUCGCAGCCCCGGAACCAGGCGCCCGCCGGAGGGACCAACCAAACUCUUUCUGUAGUCCCCUCACGGACGUUAUUUCUUACAGCUCUGAGCAAAAAUUCAAAAUGAAUCA